CUCAACAGUCCAAGUGGAUGCUGGGAUCCCAGGAAGCAGGUGUCUUCUUCCCGCAGGAACUGCUGGUCAGAGGUGCCAGGCCUGUGAUGCUCAUCAGGUGAGGAUGCUGGCAAGGCAGAGGAACACAGGCCUGUGUGAGUCCACAGGGUAGGAUGUCUUGACAGCCCCACUACCACACUGAAGGCCUGAGAGAUCCUGGAGGCAGCUGCGGCUCUUCAGUCUUUUGGAGUCACAAAAGAAACAGUUCUAAUUUCAGCCCAUGGAUGCAGCAGUGACAGAGUAGAGGACUUGUCAGCAAGAUCAAGGGCAAGCCAACAAAACGGAGCUGUCACGGAGGGUGCCACCACCACAGGAGGAUGGGCCUUCCUGCUUCAGAGAAUCUGAUCAAGAAAGCCCCUCUCAGGACUGCACAGCAGCCGGAACUCGAGUUGAUAAUAGCUCGUCAAGAAGGUGCCAAGCAUCGAGGACCAGUCCACCUCAAUGCCAGGGGCCACAGCAAGUGAGACACCUAGAACAAAGCAGGGGCUGAGACUGAGGUGCCUCACAUCUGCCUUCCUGUUCCCUGUACCUCUCCCUGAGUCCCACACAGCUCCAGGUACUUCAUCCCGUAUUCCACAGUACGGUACUCUCAUCCAAGCAUCCAGCAUGGCUGCCUGCUGGCUCUGAGCUCCUCUUGAGCAUGGCUGAAAUCCAGCUGGAGGCGUGUUACCCAGGCAAAGAACCUGGAGCAAAGUCAACACCCGGACUGCAGAGUUCUGUUCAUCUCCAUGUCCCCCUGGUGGAGAGGGAAA
rnacentral:lncRNA from 1 species